rnacentral:rRNA from 1 species
AAACCAACAGGGAUUGCCUUAGUAACGGCGAGCGAAGCGGCAAUAGCUCAAAUUUGAAAUCUGGCACUUUCAGUGUCCGAGUUGUAAUUUGAAGAUGGUAACCUUGGAGUUGGCCCUUGUCUAUGUUCCUUGGAACAGGACGUCACAGAGGGUGAGAAUCCCGUGAGAUGGGGUGUCCAAUUCUAUGUAAGGUGCUAUCGAAGAGUCGAGUUGUUUGGGAAUGCAGCUCUAAGUGGGUGGUAAAUUCCAUCUAAAGCUAAAUAUUGGCGAGAGACCGAUAGCGAACAAGUACAGUGAUGGAAAGAUGAAAAGAACUUUGAAAAGAGAGUGAAAAAGUACGUGAAAUUGUUGAAAGGGAAGGGCUUGAGAUCAGACUUGGUGUUUUGUGAUUAUCUUCUCUUCUUGGGAAGUGCACUCGCAUUAUACUGGGCCAGCAUCGGUUUGGGUGGCAGGAUAAUAGCAUCGGAAUGUGGCUUCAUUCGUGGAGUGUUAUAGCCUUUGUUGAUACUGCCUAUCUAGACCGAGGACUGCGUCUUUUGACUAGGAUGCUGGCGUAAUGAUCUUAAGCCGC